UCAAUUGGGAAAAGGAAAAUAGCACUUGCUUCACAAUGUGCCAUUUAGGGCAGAAUAGGAAAUGAACUAUUUAAGCAUGAUGCUAAACAUGACAAAUGAAAUAUUUUUCCAUAUUUGAGAAAGAUAUGACCCAAACAAUUUAUGAGAAUUAUUUGGGAAUUUUAGGGGUGAUGGAAAUAAAGGUUGCUUCACAACCUAGGGCAAUUUGAGUUAUUCCUUUAAUAGAAAAGGAAUAUUUCCAAUAAAAAGAAUAUUGGGAUUUGGGCUAGGAUGAAAAUGACAGGGUCUAGGGAAGGAUUUGGGAAUGACAAGCCACUAUGGAAACAAAGAAGAGGGCAUCUUCUUCAGUUUCCAAACCACAAAGCCACGGAAAAAGAAAACUCAAGCAAAAACCUCAGAAAAACAAAAGAAAAAGAAAGGGCCAAAAAUCAGGCUGUCACAAACCUUACCCCCUUAAAGAAAUCUCGUCCUCGAGAUUUGGUUUCUCAGGGAACAAGUAUGAAGAUACUGACUUAAGGAAACCGUUUCCAACUCAGGUAUCCUUUUUCUUAUUUUUGUUUCCACUAAAUUUUUAUCUGACUGGCCCUGGGGUGGUUUGCUUUAAUAUAUCCAUAUUCUGACAGAUCUUUCCUUGCUUGUUCAUGCUUAUACAUGCUCCAAUUUCUUUUUAGAUCUGCUGACUUAGCUGACUGUGAUUGAUUCUCACGACUGAAAUAUAUGUCGGUCUCACAAAUCCAAGAGUGAUUUCCGCUGGGUGUGUCAUCCGGCACUGACAAUCUUUCAUGAAGUGGUGAUCAGAUUUUUCUAGUGGACACCCAAGCUCUAAAUCCUUGCAUUGGGUUUCUCCACUAAAUGCAGGUCCAAACAGUGAGUUGGGUCAUAACCGCUUUCCUGACAGAUUUUGGCUUAUCGCAGAAGUUUCUGAAUUAACUGGUUUCACUGUCUUGAGUAUCGGAUCCAUACCAAAUAUUUGAUUGUCGCCUGUUGUGUCUAGCAUAAGAGUUUGACCUGUAUGCUAAUAUCUGCAGACUUGACUGACGGUGGUUCUGCACCAUGCGGGUCUUGCAACAAUUUUCAUACCUGCAUCACUGGUUUUGCUCCUACAUUAUUGUUUUCUUGCUAUGGAUCCUUGGCUGAAAGAGUUGGGUCAUAUUGCUUCUUCAUAUCACCAUAGGUACUGUUGGUGCAAUUUUUUGGCAAUCGUAGCUUAUCCUCAUUUUUUUGACAGGGUACCCCAUUAAAUGGCAGGUUCAACACCCCUCAAGUUCUGAUUGCAGGAAAAUGAUCAUCCGAACCUUUGCAAGAAACCGGCAAAUAAAUCAGUAGCCACCAAAACGGUCUUUACAACUCAGAUCUGGGACAUUACUGAAAUAACUCAACCACGGCUCAGGACGGCCGAAAAGCAGCUCAGAACAUGAGACCAGGUUGAUAAGAAGAACGUGGCAGCUCCCUAAAAUAGCCAAAAAGCAGCUAUAGGGCUACUGUCACAAAAAGAAACUCAACAGUUGUACGAGACGGCCGAAAAGCAGCUCGGAACUCGUGACAGUCGUUGAAGAGAGAAAUAAAAAAUCGGCAUCUACCCCGGAUAGCUAAAACAGCUUAGAUCACAGGCGUGGUGCCGUCAUUGGAGAAAAAGGGGACAAGGGCUCAUCAGGAUCAUUUUCCAGGUUCACAGGUACUUGUAUUGAGCUCAUUGAUGUCGUCAAUCCUCAUAAUCCUUUGUCACCCUGCAGUGUAUACUGGCUUUCUUCUCUUAACUAUCCUCAUGUGGUUGUCAGAUCCUCAUCCGAGUGACUUGUAAGAUCUUGGUGGUAUGCCCACCGCAUAUAUAUGAGAAUCUGAUUCCCGAGACAGACGUGUAUUCUGACUGAUUCUUGCUUCUGACCAAAAUGUUGCGGAUCUGAUUCUUGGAAUUCACUGCCAUAUGCUGUCAAUUCACAGCGUACUACCUUGUACCAAUGUCUUACUGAGGAAGAUUGGCUGGCUUGUGCUAGAAACUUUCAUCGGACAGCUUGCUGAAGAAGACUGGGUAUCGUGCUUCAGAAGCUUACCCCCUUAAAGACCUUGCUGGGGAAAGACUCGGUACCUUAUGCCGGAAGCUUUUGCGGUUUCUUACUGAAGAAGGCAGAGUACCUUGUACGGGAAAUCAUCCAUGUAUCGUACUGAGGAAGAUAGAUGAAUCUUGCCUUGGAAGCUUCUCGGGUACCUUGCGAGGGAAGAUUGAGUUGCUUACACCAGAAGCUUCUUAUUGUGAUAUGCAGACCGAUUUCCACAUAUAUAACCAUCUUAAUAUUUUUGUUAUUCUUUCUUGUAUGAAACGGGGUUUUGCAGGACUAUCCUCCUUUCUGAGUACAUGCCAUAUUUUUGCUUGCUUCCAGGUACAUCGGGUUCCAAAAUCAUCCUCAACGAAAAAUUAACCUUGUAUCUGAGCCAUACCUUUGAUAAUAUUCUGUCAACCUUGCACACAAUUUAUCUUCUUGCUGAUUUGAUCAUUUCUGCUAUGAGGAGUGCACGCUGAGGGAGACUUGACACUCAGUAACAUGAUCAGAUAUCCCCAAAUCUGAAUGCAGUCGGCUGAGAAUUCCAUACUGUUGUGAGGAGUGCACGUUAUUGCAAACUUUAUACUGACAUUCCAUUCAGGAUUUAUUUUGUAUUCAGACGAGCUAUUUCCAAUUUCACUGCAGUCUACUGUCAAUUCCAUUCUGUUUAGCUGUGUUUCCAAAUAUAUGCAUUUCUUGCUGACUCUUCGGGUCCGGUGUCGGCUGACGAGCAACUUUAAUAGAGGGAAAAUUUGUAACACCGGAGGCCCAAAGAAAGAAACAAAAGAAAUGACUAAAACAAAAGCACACAAGCAUACUACUAAUAUAAUUAAUCAAGCAAUCAUCACAUAUUACUGCUACUCACACCAUGAUAUGCAUGCACACCUAAGCACACAAAUCGCGCGGAAACUCCGGUAUUACGGUCCAAUAUGCUGUGGCGGUGUGCACGAAAAUUAUAUCCAUGUGUGGAAGGAGUUGGCGUAACCGAAGCUACACCAAGCACUGGCUGAACAGUGGCUGGAUCUGGAUGGAUACACAGGUGAGGACGGACUUGACGAUCAAGUAGUGAGACACAAAAGUCACAACCACAUCAUCAUCAAGCGUAUGAAAGGGAUUCGUACACGUCCAAAGAAUAGAAUGACUGGGUAGGGUAGCGGUGAAAAAACAAGGCUCGCUGGCAUUGCCCUUUUCUGAUAACCAAGAUCAAUAAGGGUUGCCAGAGGGACGAGAUGGAUGGCAUGAUUCGGGAUAGAAACAAGUCUAUCACCGAAAUAAUAUGGGUGGGUGGCGGAAAAAUAUACGCGAUACCUGAACAUAACUCCUACAAAUGGUGUCUUGAACUCUGGGUACCAGGGCAUCACUCUGCUGGGACAGAGAUAACGCCGAACACCAAAGAGCAGACAUGCUAAAAAGGAGGGUGCAGGCGGUGGACCGGAAACGAUGCCACCUACACUCACAAGAUUAACUGUUAGUGACAAAAUAAUAUUCUAUAUGCAUGCUAUGCGACAAACAAAUGCAAAGACCAAGUGCAACAAACCAACUGGGGUCUAUACUACCGCUUUCUAAUGUUCGCGCGGGCUAGGGCAUCCUACAGCCAGACCUGCUCUAAUACCAAGCCUGUGGCACCCCGGCUCAGAGAAAACAUGAAUGCCCCGUAUUCCAGCCCAGAGAUCGAGGUGAAGUCUUCUGGAAUACGGCACUGCUUAGCAUAGAACAAACCAGCUUUCUAUUAGUACACGAAUAUGAAUACAAGGUCUCCGAUAUUACAAUGAAUAACGUCGGCACAGCGACACUACGCCAUCCUCAGUUGCUCUAUGCAAGCAGCAUGACAAGUUGAGGCAGUGGAACAACGGACGGCGAUGAUGGACUCCACUCUGCAGGGACUCUAGCUGGAACGCUUAUCCUAGCUCGCGAACACAGGAACAACACCAAACAAGCAAGCAAUCCAGGCACGACCUGCAAACUGGCAUGACACGCCAGGUCAGUACAUUGAAUGUACUUGCAAGCUCACAAUAACCAGAAGCAUUCAUGACAAACAACAGCAUGGCAAUUACAGGUUAAGCAGGAAUUAUCAUGAGAUCAUCAGGAUAACAUAACAUGAACAUAAUAUCGCUAGAACAAUAUGAUCAUGGCAUGAACAUAAAAUCUAAUGAUACUAGCAUGCAACAUGAUAACACUACAUGCACCAUUUAUUCUGCUCGGGUUACCUCGUAACCAUCACAUGCAUCACUUACCAACCUCGGACAUUACACGAUUAUCUCAGGAUCAAAUCAAGCUUGGUAUAAACAAUACCGUAGUAAUCAUCAAAUGACCAAAAGGAGCUUGAUCUUUACCCACGAUUCUCGCACAACAUCACGGAUAUCCAACAACUCGGUAUCCUCGAUACCACGGUGAUCAUUCCGGUGAUCACAACCAUGACCAACACUUGGUCUCAAACGGUGAUCUUUCCGGCGAUCACAACCAACUUAUCUCAUCAUCGAACCGGGGUUGUUAUUAAGCACAUUAUUAAUACUGUUGACUCAUAGUGUGACCAACACGAACUAGGCCCUUAUCCGCGGGCGCGGCUAUCGAUAGAUUUAAUAUACACUCUGCAGAGGUUAGUACACUGUACCCACACUACGGAACCCAUGGCCUCGCACUCCCAUUCGGGUGGACCAACGGCGUUCUGACAAAACCGAUCUACUGCCAUGAUACUCUCCCGGCCACUCCGACCCACUCCCAACUGGGCUAGUCCUGGGUGGCCCCGUGUCUACCAAAGACACAAUGACCACCGUCGUGGCCAAAACGUCCCUCACGGGGACCGGAUCCAUAACAACAACAAUGGGCACACAAGGUUAUGUCUUCUUACCGGGCUAGGGUACGCACGCCCAUAACCAUCCCUCGUUUGAGGCACCGGCGAGAGGCAUGACAAUAGACCUAGUUAGGACCUUCCCAUAAAGGUAAGCGUGGUUGCACUGGUCAGUUCGAUAUGGUGGCACCAUGACUCAGCCAACAGUUGUUCAAGUUCAAUUUAAUCCGAUUAAACUUGAAUGCAAUAUGUUGAGCCAUUAUAAAAUAACGUGAUGCAAUUACAAUGCAUAAAUAUGAUAUCAACAUAAGCACGGGGUGCAACAUAACUAUCCACCAUAUCCACAAUGAAUCAUAUCCAACUGAGCAUAGUAUAAUGACGAGCAUGAAUAUCACAAGUACAACACUACUCAUAGAAACCUAGCAUGACCACUAGCAUCAACAAUAAAUAUCAUGCAAGGCAUAUCAACAAUGCUACCAUGCAAUCAUUUAACCAACUGGAUGCAAAGGGACAUGCAUAACGACGACGCUCGGAACAGACGUUAGUCAUGCACCGAAGGCCAUCACCAACAUCAACAUGUACUACUAGCAAGCAUAAGCAUAUGAAAGGAAUACUAGCAACUAGUACAAGAUAACCAGGUGCAUGACAACAUAACACGAGAGUGAACAUGAAACUCUAAGCGGAACCGGAACAACGAUAACCAUGUUUUAAAAAAGCAAACAUUUAUUAAAUAUUCAAGUUUAAAACCAUGGCUACUUCAUGACUAUCAUGCAAGUGGGUAUUGUGGCUUUCCUGGGGAUGAAGAAGGCACCGGGAAGAAGUGCGGUGAAGCCGCGGAAAGUUUUGGCGGAAACAGUUCUCUCUUCGAGGGGCUAUUUACGUGCAAGGGCAAAAAGAUCAUUUCCAGUACAUCAAACCAUAGUGAAAAUGAAACCAACAGAACGGGCUCUACGAAACAAAGAAGUGGGCUUUGGUUUCACCUUAAUCGGAGUCUCGAGCAAAAAGAUAUGAUAGUUUUUCUGCCAGGGACCCAUUUGUAAUACAAAUUUUUAUAGACUGGGCCAAAACAGAAAAGCUGAAAGCGCAUUCCCAGAACUACGCUUUCGGGACAGUGAAGGCGUAUUUUUGGCCGAAGCCGCAGCUGUUUACGCUUUCACUGACACGAAAGCGUAUUCGUUAGAUUACGCUUCCACUUAACUGACGUGGCAACGCGGGGUCAACGCGCAGCCGUUGACAGGUGGGGUCGGGAGGUGAUGCGGGGCCCAGCUGGCCUCGUCUUCUUCCUCCUCGCUGCACCCCGAUGGGAAACAGAGGAGGCAGGGGCGGGGUCGCGAUGCCGGCGGUGGCCGGGUCGGCUCAGGCCGCCUCCGGCCAAGCCGAGGCCACCGGCGAGACCGGCAAGGAGUGUCGCAUCCAUCUUGAUGGGAAGGAGACGCCGGAGAUGAGCGGGAGGGACGGUGUUGUGAGGGGAACAGAGAGGCGCCGGCGGUGAUUGAGCUUGGGGCACAAGGCCAAGGGGCUCCGGCGGUGGGGAGAGGACACGGGGAGGAUCUCCGGGGUCCGGGUGGAGCUAUGGUCAGGUCAGGAGGGAGGGGGAAGGCUCGGAUGGCUCGGAUUCGAGAGGAGACCUGAGGCGGCCAUGGCGGCCAUGGUGGGCACAGGGAGCUCCUCGAGCUCGAACGAGAGACAUGGGAGGGAGCUGGGAGUGAGGCGAGGCUGCCCGUGUGCUCGAACGGCUCGGGGAGGGCUAUAUAUAGCCGGGCGAGGGAGGAAGUGGCCGAGUGCCGCCGCUCGAGCUCGGCCAAUGCUCUGGCGAGGCUCAGCGAGCACGGGAGGGCGCGGGAAGGUGACGAGGAAGGCAACGGACGAGCUACAGAGGCGCACAGGGUGAGGGGGGCCGAGGGCGCAGAGGAGAAGCGGCCGAAUGCCAUUAAAGCCUUGGUCGGCCACAGUGCGUCCGUGGGCGCGCGACGACGAGAGCUGAUGGAGGGGAAGAAGGCUCCAGGAGGACGGCGAUGAUGCGGUGAAGCUGUUGGACAGGCUCAUGAGCGCGAAGGCGACGAGAGGGGGAGGGGCCCGAGCAAGAAAACACCCUGGACGCGGCCAACGCCAGCAGAGCGCGCGCAAUGCAUGCCAAGGCUCGUGAUCACCGCGUUCAGUAGUGCCCACAGUGCCACAAGCUAAGCCAAAUGAUGUCUGGGGUGGAGUCCUUCCUGGGGAGGUUGCAACUGCGGUGGUAGUUUGGUUAAAAGUGCUCUGCUUAAAAGAUAAGUGAGCUCUGAAGUUUACUGCAGUAAACUUGAUCAUGAAACAGUGAUCAACUGAGGUGAUAUUAGAGGCAAACGAGUUGUCUGGGGUGAUUAGCUUAGGAAGAAAUACCAUACUGGGGAGUUUGGCAGGUAAUGGACCAAGAUUUAAUGCACUUGCUUUGCAACUGCAUAAUCUGGUCCAGAAACUUGAUCAGGAAGGUGCACUCACAUGAAGUGUCAAAAUGAGCUCAAAUUGGGCAAGGCAGAGUCAUUUGGUCCUAUGAAGAUGCUCAAAAAGUCUCAUACCAAUUGGCCAAGCCAAACUGGUACUUGCUUCACAAACAUCUCCUCUGGAUAGAAACUUGCAAAAAUUCUAGAGGAAUAAUGGCUUGAUGAACCAUGCCCAAAAUAGGUGGAGGUAGGUUAUGUGGAUAAUAGAAGGCCUAGAAAAAUUGGCAGCCAUACUGGAGCAAGAUAAAAUAUACUUGCUUCACAAACUGAAAUUUUGGAGAGAAUCGAAGAAUUGAAGAUGUGCUCACAUGGAGGCAUGACAUGAGCUCUACUUUUGUGGAGGGCUAUGAUAUGAUGAUAUGAGGGAUCAUGCAAAAUGGCAACUUAUUUGGAUAUGCCUAGCUUGCACCUCCUUCACAAAGCUUCUUUCUGGAUAGAAACUUUGGAAAUCAUAAUUAAAUAAUUACUAGGCAAAUGAGGUUGCAUUUUGGCAUGUGGCAAUGAUAUGGACAGGAAAAGGUGUCCAAGGAGUUUGAGGUCAAUUGGGAAAAGGAAAAUAGCACUUGCUUCGCAAUGUGCCAUUUAGGGCAGAAUAGGAAAUGAAUUAUUUGAGCAUGAUGAUAAACAUGACAAAUGAAAUAUUUUGCCAUAUUUGAGAAAGAUAUGACCCAAAACAUUUAUGAGAAUUAUUUGGAAAUUUUAGGAGUGAUGGAAAUAAAGGUUGCUUCACAACCUAGGGCAAUUUGAGUUAUUCCUUUAAUAGAAAAGGAAUAUUUCCAAUAAAAAGAAUAUUGGGAUUUGGGCUAGGAUGAAAAUGACAGGGUCUACGGAAGGAUUUGGGAAUGACAAGCCACUAUGGAAACAAAGAAGGGGGCAUCUUCUUCGGUUUCCAGACCACAAAGCCACGGAAAAAGAAAACUCAAGCAAAAACCUCAGAAAAACAAAAGAAAAA
rnacentral:lncRNA from 1 species